CCCGCCGCAGUACUGAUCAUUCUAUUUCCCCCUCUAUUGAUCCCCACCUCCAAAUACCUCAUCAACAACCGACUAAUUACCACCCAACAAUGACUAAUCCAACUAACCUCAAAACAAAUGAUAGCCAUACACAACACUAAAGGGCGAACCUGAUCUCUUAUACUAGUAUCCUUAAUCAUUUUUAUUGCCACAACUAAUCUUCUCGGGCUCCU
rnacentral:lncRNA from 1 species